rnacentral:rRNA from 1 species
GACGAACGCUGGCGGCGUGCUUAACACAUGCAAGUCGAACGGAAAGGCCCUGCUUUUGUGGGGUGCUCGAGUGGCGCACGGGUGAGUAACACGUGAGUAACCUGCCCUUGACUUUGUGAUAACUUCAGGAAACUGGGGCUAAUACCGGAUAGGAGCUCCUGCCGCAUGGUGGGGGUUGGAAAGUUUCGGCGGUUGGGGAUGGACUCGCGGCUUCUCCGCUUGUUGGUGGGGUAGUUGCUUACCAAGGCUUUGACGGGUAGCCGGCCUGAGAGGGUGACCGGCGACAUGGGGACUGAGAUACGGCCCAGAAUCCUACGGGAGGCAGCAGUGGGGAAUAUUGCACAAUGGGCGGAAGCCUGAUGUAGCAACGCCGCGUGCGGGAUGACGGCCUUCGGGUUGUAAACCGCUGUCGCCGGUGACGAAGCGUGAGUGACGGUAAUGGGUAAAGAAGCACCGGCUAACUACGUG